UACAGAGGGUGCGAGCGUUAAUCGGAAUUACUGGGCGUAAAGUGUGCGCAGGCGGCCGAGCAAGUCGAGUGUGAAAGCCCCGGGCUUAACUUGGGAAUUGCGCUCGAAACUACUUGGCUGGAGUGUGGCAGAGGAAGGUGGAAUUCCAGGUGUAGCGGUGAAAUGCGUAGAGAUCUGGAGGAACACCGGUGGCGAAGGCGGCAUUCUGGACCGACAUUGACGCUGAGGAGCGAAAGCCAGGGGAGCAAACGGG
rnacentral:rRNA from 1 species